CGCGUUGAGCCGGGUUAACGGGUUAUCUUGAUGUGGUAAAGUUCGGAGGUGGAAUCCUUCCAAUGCGG
rnacentral:tRNA from 1 species